CCUACGGGUGGCAGCAGUGGGGAAUAUUGGGCAAUGGAGGAAACUCUGACCCAGCAACGCCGCGUGAAUGAUGAAGGUCUUCGGAUUGUAAAGUUCUUUUCUAAGGGAAGAAGAAAGUGACGGUACCUUAGGAAUAAGCCUCGGCUAACUACGUGCCAGCAGCCGCGGUAAUACGUAGGAGGCGAGCGUUAUCCGGAAUGACUGGGCGUAAAGGGUGCGUAGGUGGUUUGGCAAGUUAGUAGCGUAACUCCAAGGCUCAACCUUGGAACUACUACUAAAACUGUUGGACUUGAGUGCAGGAGGGGCAACCGGAAUUCCUAGUGUAGCGGUGGAAUGCGUAGAUAUCGCGCAGAACUCCGAUUGCGAAGGCAGCAUGCCGGCUCCACACUGACGCUGAGGCACGAAAGCGUGGGUAUCGAACAGGAUUAGAUACCCUAGUAGUC
rnacentral:rRNA from 1 species